rnacentral:tRNA from 1 species
GGAGAGGUGGGUGAGUGGCUUAAACCAGUAGUUUGCUAAACUGCCGUACGGGUUAUUCUGUACCGGGGGUCGGAUCCCCCCUCUCCG